ACAUGCCUACGAGAUAGCGUUAAUGCAUUGGAUCCUAAUAGAACUCCAUAGUUAAGAACACUCUAGAUAGAGUAGUAUUGGGAUGGGUGACCACACAAGAAUUCCUAGUGCUUUACAUGCC
rnacentral:rRNA from 1 species